UACGGAGGAUCCGAGCGUUAUCCGGAUUUAUUGGGUUUAAAGGGUGCGUAGACGGCAGGGCAAGUCUGGAGUGAAAGCCCGGGGCCCAACCCCGGGACUGCUUUGGAAACUGCCAUGCUAGAGUGCUGGAGAGGUAAGCGGAAUUCCUAGUGUAGCGGUGAAAUGCGUAGAGAUUAGGAGGAACACCAGUGGCGAAGGCGGCUUACUGGACAGUAACUGACGUUGAGGCUCGAAAGCGUGGGGAGCAAACAGG
rnacentral:rRNA from 1 species